CUUGAACGCUGGCGGCAGGCCUAACACAUGCAAGUCGAGCGGAUGAAGGGAGCUUGCUCCUGGAUUCAGCGGCGGACGGGUGAGUAAUGCCUAGGAAUCUGCCUGGUAGUGGGGGACAACGUUUCGAAAGGAACGCUAAUACCGCAUACGUCCUACGGGAGAAAGCAGGGGACCUUCGGGCCUUGCGCUAUCAGAUGAGCCUAGGUCGGAUUAGCUAGUUGGUGAGGUAAUGGCUCACCAAGGCGACGAUCCGUAACUGGUCUGAGAGGAUGAUCAGUCACACUGGAACUGAGACACGGUCCAGACUCCUACGGGAGGCAGCAGUGGGGAAUAUUGGACAAUGGGCGAAAGCCUGAUCCAGCCAUGCCGCGUGUGUGAAGAAGGUCUUCGGAUUGUAAAGCACUUUAAGUUGGGAGGAAGGGUUGUAGAUUAAUACUCUGCAAUUUUGACGUUACCGACAGAAUAAGCACCGGCUAACUCUGUGCCAGCCGCCGCUGUAAUAC
rnacentral:rRNA from 1 species